rnacentral:tRNA from 1 species
CCUUCGAUAGCUCAGUUGGUAGAGCGGUGGACUGUAGAGGAAAAUCACUGUCAUCCAUAGGUCGCUGGUUCAAAUCCGGCUCGAAGGA